ensembl:lncRNA
AUUUCUUCACAUUUUUUAUUGUGUUGCAAAAAGUGGGAUUCAAAUGUAUUUUAAUUAGUCAACUCAUGUGGUCUCUCAAAGUGGAAUGCAACCAUGUUAAAGAUUUAAAAGUAAUUCGAAAGCUAAAAUAGUAUUCAGACCCUUUUUGUUUAGGUGUAAAUUAGUUCAGGAGUAAAAUGUGACUUAACGUAAUAAGUGACAUGGACUCUGUGUGAUAAAAUAGGUGUUGACAUUUAUUUCUGAAUGACUAACCCUUCCCCCCUCUUCACAGAUUCAACUACAAAGACCAGGGAGCUUUUCAAAAGCCUUGUUUAAAAAAAAAAUAAUAAUAAUAAAUGGUAGUGAUUGGUAGACGGGUAACAAUAUCAAAGCAAACGAUGAAUUUUAAUAUCUCUUCAAGCACGGUCACGUUAAUAAUGAUGCCGUGGAUGAUUUAUUAAAACCACCCAGACACAUCAAAGAUACAGUCUCCCUUCUGAACUGAGGUACAGGACAAGGAUGUUACCAUGGCGAUUGGAUGUUACCAUGGCGAUUGGAUGUUACCAUGAGGCCAUUGGUGAUUUUUAAAAUGGUCAAGUUCAAAUGGCUGUGAUGGGAUGAAAACAAGAGGUUGGAUCAACAUUGUAGUGGACUCCACAAUAAUGACUUAAAUAACAGUGACAAGAAUGCAAAAUAUACAUCUGGUAUGCAGCAGAGUGAUAAUGAGAAUGAGAAAACACUGUUCAGAAAUAUACUUUUUUGGCCUAAAUACAACACAAAGUACUUAACUGCCUCCUUAUAUUCAAGCAUGUUGGUGGCUGCAUCAUGUUAUGGGUAUGCUUGACAAAUGCAAAUACUGAGGAGGUUUUCAGGAUAAAAAGAAACUAGGUGGAGCAAAGCACGGUCAAAAUCCUUUGUCUGCUUUCCACCAGACACUGAGAGAUGAUUUCACCUAUUCAGAAGGACAUUAACCUAAAACACAAGGCCAAAUCUACACUGGAGUUGCUUAUCAAGGAGGCUGGGUAUGUUCCUGAGUGGGCAACUUACAGUUUUGAUUUAUAUCUGCUUGAAACUCUAUGGCAAGACUUGAAAAGAGCUUUCUAGCCAUGAUCCCCAACACCUUGACAGAGCUUGAAGAAUUUUGAAAAGAAUAAUGGGUAAUUAUUGUACAAUCAAGGUUUGCAAAGCUCUUAGAGACUUACCCGAGAAGACCCACAGAUGUAACUGCUGCCAAAAAGGGGUUUAUAUUAUAUGUAUUGACUCAGGGAGCUGAAUAAUUAUGCAGUCUUAAAUGUAAAAAAUAAUAAUAAUAAAUCCACGUUGACAGAGAAGUACAAUUAAAUCCAUUUUAAUUCCACUUUGUGAAACAAUAAAAUGAAUAGUUUUGCAAGGCACUGUUUCUGCCUUGCUCUGUGUCACAACAUAUUACAUGACACCCUGUUAAGUGGCUACCAAUGGUAAUUCUUCUUUUUCUAUGCAUUUCCUUAUUACUUUGACUGACUUGUGUACACAGACUGCACAAACACACACACAACGUGAUAUAUAUAUAUAUAUAUAUAUACACACACAUGUGCACAAAUUCAUGAUGACGGUUUGAUUUAUGAUUAUGACAGAAUUGAGUGUGAGGAAGUUAUGUAAAAAAAUAUUAUUUUUUUUUCUUGUUGGUUUCAAAAUAAUUUUCCAAACAAGCCUGGUCCUGAAAGUGGCCGUGGUUUCACACGUGGCAGGACGUGUCGUUGCCAAGACUACAGAGAUGCAGAAAGGAGUAGUAGACCACGAGGGAAGACAUGCAGGUGCUGUACCAGACAUGAUUUACUUUGUCCUCAUUGUCAUUCUUAUUGGUUUUGUUUUUUGGAAGUUGCAGGAAAUAACUUGCACUAUGAUUUAUUUUAAUUUUAUUUACAGUGACACACUACAGUCUGAGAUAUCACCUUAUUGAAUUUAUUACAGAAUCUUAGUGGCCAUGGUUACCGAUGCCUUGGGAAUUUAAAAUAAUGGUUCGUCAUUGUUUAUUAUUCAGCCAUUUUCGUUUAUAUAUAUAUCAAUGUACAAAAUAUUUUUGUUUUUAAUAUUUAUUACUGUGAACAUAGUAUUUACAUUUUCUUACUUUUUUUUCAUUUAUGGGACAAAUGUUAUAUAAAUGUAUCACGGACCAUCGGUUGGAAAAACAAGAUGGUGAAUUUCUGAUGGACUGUUUCCCGAUUUAACUUAAUUCCUUUUCUAUAUGGAGAAAUAAAAAGCGUUUGAUUUACAGCUGGUAUAUCUUUUUAUAUGCAAAGAGUUCUAAAAAAUACAGUCACAAACCACAUUUCCAUACAGGUUUAUUGCGAGUUAAGUCAUAUUUUAAAAAAUAAAUCACGACAGC